AACUAACCACGGCAUUCAUCGUUUAAAAUUGGGCUUUGCCUUUUUUGAACCGGACCUCGUGGCGUAUGCGCAAUUUCAGCCACGCAGAGUUCAAAAGAAACGGUUAGGUUAAACAAGAUUGGUUUUCACCAAUGCACAGAGAUCAUAACAGUAUUAGUUUCUGCGUAAAAAAAACUGAAAAUCUAUUGAGAAGUGGCUAAGGCAAAUUCAAUGCCAAAGUGGGCGAAAGUUGGUAAAACUUUGCCGGGCCAAAGUGAGACAGCCAAAAGUGAGACAGCGAAAAAGAAAUGUUCCAGGUGGCAAAUGUCAAAGCAGAGGAUCCUGGCAGCUGAAGGACAGCACUCCCGUCCCCUUUCGUUGCUUGUUUGUUUGUGCCAUUGUCGUUUGUGAACUAUGAACUGUCACACGGAGAAGAGUGCACUAAAAGCGUCGCCUUACGGCAACUGACUUGGAAAGAUAA
rnacentral:sRNA from 1 species